GCAGCCCGAGCAUUCCCGUAACUCAGCUGGCCUCUGCGCCGGCAGAGAUGUACGGGACUGACGUGCCGAGCGGAGAAGCGGCCGUGUUGCUGUCGGGGACAAUUAAGAUAGUGCCUCCUGAAGUGACCUUGUCAAAUUAGCAAAGGCCCGGAGCACUGUACAGCAGGGACUGGUGCUACAGGAGUUCAACCUGCAUGACUGUUGCUUUAGUGGAACACUACUGUGCUCCUUCAACUGAGGUUUAUAUGCAAGUGGUUCUUCAGCUUCUACUGAGGCUGAAAACUUCAAAGCUUAAUGAACUCAGAUUCACGGCAGCUUCUGGAGGUAGCAAGGUAAAAAGGAUCUUCAUGUUAAAGCAGGGGCCUGAAGCCAUUAGAAGAUACAAGUAUAAAACCACAAAUAAAAGCAGGAUUCAACAUACCAUUGCAGCUUUUCUAUUAAUACACACUCCUUGGCAUUCAGGAACUAUACGUUAUCUCUGCUAACUCCAGCUCAGACCCUAAGUUUUCCUCAAGCAUUUCCAACACUGGCUUUUCAGCCUGGCAUCUGCAGCAGGCUCUGUUGGGGCAGAGGGGAGGUUACAUGGCUGUGGCUCCUGACAUACCACAGCCCCAGUAUCACAUCCUGCUCUGUGGCAGUCCUGAUGCUGAAGUCUCAAAGACUCAGUAUGGAUCUAUCAGCAGGUGUUUUUUCCAAAAGUUAAUUAAUCCUUCGAACAUCUGAUCUCAAAACUGUCCUCACAUUUUGCUAAUUCAGGCCUCCUCGGCAGAUUUCUAGUGUUUCCUGACUCGAGCAUAGCAAUGGUCGUUAAUGACAGGCUAAGUGGCCAGCUGUGGCUCCUUAAUAUCUCAUGUAAUUGCUGCUCUAACAUCCUUUUCCUCCAAGCCUUGCAUGUGUGGCUGAAGUAAUGGAUAGAUAGCCCUAGAAACCAAGAGCCUUUGUUCAUCCACAGACAGAUCAUACGUGGUCAGGAGCACUACAAGGCUUCUCUGAGACACCCUGCUGAUGCACUUUACACUGUGACAGCACCGUUUAAAGUGUAUCUUUCUCAGAGGGUUAACUAAGCACUUGCUCUCCUUGUUUGAGCCCUGGGCUUAGCCCAGAACAGCCUCAGAGCCUACGGUCUCUUCCUGAGCCUGUGUCUCCUCACCUUGCUCCACGUGGGCGGGAGCAUGUCUGGGGUUUCUGAAGCCCUGACCCACUGCUCUUCAUGCUGCAAUCAGCUCUGCUUUUCUGACCAAGUUUUCCAGAAAGCUGUGAAGGCCAUGGCCAUCUGCCUGAGCCCUCGGCAGAAGCCACUGGAAAACUUCUCGUCCUUAUGUGACCUGUGUCCUCUACAGACCCAUCUUACAGGAAAUGAAGCUGAACCCCUGUGCAAAGCCAUGGCUGCCAACCCACUGUCACAGUACAAACAGCGUAAUUUAUUUUGUUAACAGCCUCAGACAGCUUUAUCUGCAGUCCUACCACUCUCUAACCCCACCACCCCGGUGCCCUCGUGCCUGGCACAGUGCUGCAGUCACAGCCAUGCCUAGCACCCAGCAGCCUUGAAGCAGCUCCAAAGGGCGUGUGGCUUCACAUUUGGUGACUGAGAACUUGCAGCCCUGCUAGCACUGACUGCGGCGGCACCUCGCGUGCCGAAAGUCUCAAGUUGCUGCUCUCCCUGACUGCUGAUGCUUGGGGUGACACUUGGAGCUGCUGCCACCUCCUUCAGUACCAAAAGCCAAACAGUAAAGUCUAGGCAGAGACUUUUUGGGCAGGCUGGUGACACUUACUACUGUAUUACUCCUCUUGCAGCUGCCAAAUGUGAUAUUUCAGGGGGAUUCAAGUCACUCCACCUUAGGAAGAGGUCUAGGCCAAGAACUUGGAAAACAACAAGGACUAUUCUGAACUCACCUGCUUGGCUCAAGAAACUUAAGAUCCACACCUAAACUAGGCUUCCCAUCAAAAUUUUCAUUUAUAUGUUAAAAACCUAACAGGAGCAAAGACCUUCCAUGAAGCCUUCGUGCUCCUCUCCAAGAUCUAAGGAUCGUAGAGGGGGAAAGCUUCUUUCCUGAGAGUGGGCAAUUGUCAUGUGAGAAUAAGUGCCCAGCAAAAUCUGAAUCAUCCUGCUGCUUCCCACGGGCUUUGGAGCAAUUUGGUUUUCACGCCUUUUGCUUUGUCAGAUGAAAUAUUUGAAUUGCUCUAUCUAAUGACGGGGUGUAUAUUCACAAUGGAAAUCCCAGUUCUUCUCACAGUGUUGUUUUUGACAUUGAGCACAGGAAUGCUUAAAGUUUCUGACACCUUUUCAUUAAAGGGAGAAAAAACUGCACACAUCUAUCA